GGUAAUCCUAAACCCUGAGAAUUAAGCAUAAUCGGAUGCCGUUUAAUUGGCGGAGAGUUGAAUGGACUAACGAGCGCAUGACUGUCUUUAAUAAAGGUAUAAUGAAAUUGGAGUAAUAGUGAAGAUACUAUUAAAAAUAGCAGGACGAAAAGACCCCGUGAAGCUUUACUAUAAACCUGUUGGUUUAAAUAAAAAUAUGAAAUAAGUAUUAAUAUAAUAAAAAUUAAGUGUUAACUAAGUAAAAUGGAAGAGUAUGAAUCACUUAAUUUAGCACCUUUUUUAUUCUGUUUUUUUUUUUCUUCUUUUAUUUAUGCAAGGAGGAUUGUUAGUUUUGGUGGGGUGCCAGCGCAUUAAAAAAAACAUGUUGUUAGCAAUAAGUCAAAUUAGUAAUAACUGUGUAAUAAACAUCUUUAUUCAGGGAUAAAAAUCGGUAAAGUGACCCGUCCAAAAAUAAAAAAAAAUUGUAAUAUAAAAGGACGACAGAGAAUAAAAGUUACUCCGGGGAUAACAGG
rnacentral:rRNA from 1 species